rnacentral:lncRNA from 1 species
CAGGAUGAUGAUGCUGGCCUCAUAAAAUGUGUUAGGGAGGAUUCCUUCUUUUUCUGUCAAUUGGAAUAGUUUCAGAAGGAAUGGUACCAGCUCCUCCUUGUACCUCUGGUAGAAUUUGGCUGUGAAUCUGUCUGAUCCUGGAAUUUUUUUUGGUUGGUAAGCUAUUAAUUAUUGUCUCAAUUUCAGAGCCUGUUAUUGGUCUAUUUAGAGAUUCAACUUCUUCCUGGUUUAGUCUUGGAGGGUUUAUUUCCAACAAAAGAAAAUCCCCAAAACCCCAGAAAAAGAAUUCAAAGUUAUGGACUACAGUUCAGUGAAAUGCAAGAGAAUUCUGAAACAAAAAUGCAGAAAAUAAAAACAAUUCAAGAUAUUAAUAAGAAAAUUUCCAAAUAGAUAGAUAUCAUAAAAAAUCAAACAGAUAUUCUAUAAUAAAGAAUUCCUUGAAUGAAACAAAUUGGUUCAUAAAUAGAAAAAAAAGUUUACUCUUUUUAUGCUUCCUGGCCUAAGAUUGUUUCUAUCCUUCUAAAUCAAAUUUUUGAGCAAGCUACAUAUAGGAAAAAGGAUAAUGUUAUAACCCCCCCAAAAAUCAUAAUACCGGAAUGGAGGCAGGGAACCUAAGGCUGUUUCACUUCGACUUGCUAGAACUAAAUUG